UUUCUUCCUUUCUCCUAUCUCAGUUUGUCUUUUCUUUUGAAGUUUCUUCCCAAAGAAUUUAAUACUUUUAAAAACACAUAACUUUUAUAUGUGUUUUAAGAAAAAAAUUAAAUCUUCUAAAUGAUCAAGUUUAAACAAAUAGUAGUUGAUUUCUCAGGAGAUAAUUACACAUGUUAUUCUGCAAAUAUAGGGAAAUUCUGUAGAUCUGGAAAUACACCAACCCCAAGAAAAUGUCUUAUUUAACGUAUUUGACAAUGUGGACUUGGGGCCAGGACUUGCUUUCUGUAAUGACAAAAACAACAGAUGCUAUUGGAAAAAACACUGCCAGGUUACAUUUGUCACCUUUCUGUUACUGUAACACAUUCCUGAAAUGACAAACUUAUGAAGACACAAAGUUCAUCUUGGCCCAUCAUCCCCUUCAAGAACAUGUUCCUCAGUGACUCCUUUAUUUCUCACUCUUAAAGUUUGCCCAGCAUCUAAAGUGCCAAGCUGGGCUCAAACCUUGAAAUACAGGCCUUUAGGGGCUGCCUCAGUUCCUCACUAUAAUACAGGUUCAUGGUAUGCUUUUAAACAGUUGCUUAUAAAUCCUUAUGCUUUCUAUACCUCGUGAUUUUUGGUGAAAGGCACAUGAAUAAAUGUGCUUAUUUUCCCUUCAUUAUGUUAACCUUUAUAUUCAGUCUUGGGUGGAAGAGGUACACUUUAGGGUAUGAAUGCCAUUUAUGAACUUCAGUAGUAAAUAAACUUGUUUUGUUUUUGCAAAUGCUGGUCUCCGGAGAAGAAAAACCUGCUGUGUCAUUGGAACUGGAAUGGAUCAAAGGGCCAGCUGCAAGAUAAAGUGAGGACCUUUGGGAGGGAGAAGUGGGUGACGAAGAGGUGAUGCAAGAAAAAAGACUUCCAGCUGAUUCUCGUGGAAGUCCUGACAAUACACAGAGUCCAGUGUCAAAGCGGUUGCAGACCAAUGGUUCCCUGAAGUACUACCAUAUCUGCAUCACAUUAUUAACAACCUUUGGGCUACAUCAUUUCGCAAGCCUAAGUCAAAGUUACACAUCUGAUAUGUCCUCGGUCUGAUGUGUCUUAUUUACUGCAUACCAAGAAUUCAAUUCUUUUAAUGAGAUUUUUAAGUGACUUCCUCGUAAAGAUAGAGAAAAAUGCAGAGUAUUUGUUUUUAAAGUUAACAGUAAAUCUUACUAUUCUUGAAGCUUAAGACAGGAGAAUCACAAGUUCAAGCCCAGCCUGGGCAGAUUAGUAAGAUCCUGUUUCAAAGUUUAAGAAGAAAGAAAGAAAUCAAUCAAUCAAUCAAGCAAGCAAGAAAGAAGUAAAGAAAUAAAGAAGAGGCUGGGUAUAUAGCUCUGUGCAUAGGCCCUGGGUUCAAUCUCCAGUACUAGCAACAAAAACUAAAAAAUUUGAUAAUAUAUGUAGGUGAAAAGUUGAGUUACACAAAUCACUCUUUUUCUGCUGUAAAUUCUAAUAUACAGUUCUUCACCAGACUUGGGUCAGAAUUCAUAAAUAAAACUUGACAUGUGGAGAGUAUAUUGAUCUUGUUUUGAUACCA